UACAUAGGGGGCGAGCGUUAUCCGGAAUUAUUGGGUGUAAAGGGUGCGUAGACGGGAAAUUAAGUUAGUUGUGAAAUCCCCAGGCUUAACUUGGGAAUUGCAACUAAAACUGAUUUUCUUGAGUACUGGAGAGGAAAGUGGAAUUCCUAGUGUAGCGGUGAAAUGCGUAGAUAUUAGGAGGAACACCAGUGGCGAAGGCGACUUUCUGGACAGAAACUGACGUUGAGGCACGAAAGUGUGGGGAGCAAACAGG
rnacentral:rRNA from 1 species